rnacentral:rRNA from 1 species
AUGGCGUCCUCUCGCAUCCUUCUCCUAGCCGCGAUCCUCCUGGCCCUGGCUUCUAUCCAAGCGCGCGGCCAGAGCAUGCCGCCUUCACCGGCAAUGGCACCAGCACCGGCCACUCGCGGUGGCAAUUGCACUUUGAAUGGCGCAAUCGCGCUUGGUGUGUGUCUUAAACUUCAACCGGGCAGGACAAGCCCGGCCGACAAGAACCGGUGCUGCCAUCGGAUCCAGGGGAUGCAGAGCCCCGCCGACUGUCUGUGCUUGGGCUUCCAGCUGGGUGGUGGCCUUGUCGGUGGCAUUCCCGAUGGCGUCAAUUCCGUGCUCGGCAUCUGUGGCAUGGCCCGCAUCCCCAACCUAGUUUGCCUGGUGGCCUCUGGAACGGUCUGA